UGGUUUAGUAGCUCCAUCUGUGGGUCCGAUAAAACCCAGCGGUGGCGCCACCUGUGACAGGCCUAGAAAGGGUUUAUAGGUAGCUGGGGGGUCUAGGAGAGUAACAGCGGCAAAUGUCAAGCGGCCCUAGAAAUUCACCAUGCCCCACGAUCGAGGUUACCGGCGGGUCGGCAGCGGCGGAUGCUUUCUUUUCCUUUUCGGCAGCGGCAGCGUAUAGACGCAGUCAACUCAAGACAGUUCGCGAGUGACCCAAAAGGGAAAUUUUUUUACUUGUUCAAUUUUCGGUUGGAUCGCGCCUAGACUGGCGGUCGGCGGAAGGCGAUUCGGAAAGUCGGCGAGAAGGCGCUGGGGAAGGAAAGGAAAAGAAACGGAUGUGGAUCUUGGUGCCAAACGAAAGCGAGAAAUUCGGCGGCCAAGCGGAAAAGGCGGCGGCAGCAGCAUUGGAAAUCAAGCAUUAAUUUUAUAUAUAUAUUUUCGACCUAACCUGACCCCAUAACCCUAGGCGGUACCGGCCGUGUGUUUGAGCAAGAAAAAGGAGAAGAAAGUUCUAAUUUAGAUAUCCACGGUUUUAGAAGUUACAAAAUCCCGACCUACGACAGCAAAGUUUAAAUUAAGCCGUAAAGGCAGCCGCUAUCGUUUGCGUGGGUAAAGAGAGGCGGGGCUUCGCAAAAGCGGGAGCUUUCAGUCUCCUACACGGAUCGGAUCACGCCAGUCGCCUUCGCUGCGCUCCGUCGCGAAAAGAAGAUUUUAGAGAAAAAGAUCAAUUUACGCGAAAGUAAACGUUUUUUUUUGCACCCGCCGCACGCGUCGGUGAAAGCCGGCAGUAGCUGCCAGCGAGUCAGUUGGCGGCUAGAACAUAGUUUAAGCUAAUUCAAGUGUAAGCAUAGUUUUUUUUUGUGUUGGUGCUUGUGAAUAUGUGGGUGUAUUAGUGCCUUAGGCAGCUAGCUAAGAAAAAAAAGAAGAAAAAGUAAGCAUGCGUUGAAGCCGCGAUCGAAAUUUCAGCCAGCCCCGAAAGUAAUUUUUUUUUUACAUUUUUUUGCUGUGUCGGUUUGAGUGUCUCCCUUUCCUCUCUUCUUUUUUUUGCAUUUUCUUUCCCCCUUCACAGCUCUCAUCAUCAUCCCGAAGAAAGCGCUUUCGUCGAUGGAUUUGAAACAGUGGUGAGUCCAAAUUUUCAUAUAUUCAUUACAUAAAAGAAAGGGAGUAGGAAGGAAAUGUAAUAAAUUGGAGGGUGAGACUUAAGAAGGAAAGAUCAGAAGGGAUGGCCGAAUGAGCAAGAAGCAGAGAAAAAAUUUACGACAACAUCU